UACGUAGGGCGCAAGCGUUGUCCGGAAUUAUUGGGCGUAAAGAGCUCGUAGGCGGUUUGUCGCGUCUGCUGUGAAAACUCGAGGCUCAACCUCGGGCUUGCAGUGGGUACGGGCAGACUAGAGUGCGGUAGGGGUGACUGGAAUUCCUGGUGUAGCGGUGGAAUGCGCCAGAUAUCAGGAGGAACACCGAUGGCGAAGGCAGGUCACUGGGCCGCAACUGACGCUGGAGGAGCGAAAGCAUGGGGAGCGAACAGG
rnacentral:rRNA from 1 species